rnacentral:rRNA from 1 species
ACUCAAAUGAAUUGACGGGGGCCCGCACAAGCAGUGGAGCAUGUGGUUUAAUUCGAUGCAACGCGAAGAACCUUACUUGGGUUUGAAAGGCAAGAGACAGUCGAUGAAAGUCGGCCUCGUAGCAAUACGUUCUUGUACAGGUGCUGCAUGGCUGUCGUCAGCUCGUGCCGUGAGGUGUUAGGUUAAGUCCUGCAACGAGCGCAACCCCUACACUUAGUUGCCAUCAGGUAAUGCUGGGCACUCUAGGUGGACUGCCUACGCAAGUAGUGAGGAAGGUGGGGAUGACGUCAAGUCCUCAUGGCCCUUACACCCAAGGCCACACACGUGCUACAAUGGACGGUACAAAGGGUCGCUAAGAUGCGAAUCGGAGCCAAUCCCAAAAAACCGUCCUCAGUUCGGAUUGGGGUCUGCAACUCGACCCCAUGAAGCUGGAAUUGCUAGUAAUCGCGGAUCAGCACGCCGCGGUGAAUACGUUCCCGGGCCUUGUACACACCGCCCGU